UUGGGUAGGGGAGCGUUCUGUAAGCCUGUGAAGGUGGCCUGUGAGGGUUGCUGGAGGUAUCAGAAGUGCGAAUGCUGACAUAAGUAACGAUAAAGCGGGUGAAAAGCCCGCUCGCCGGAAGACCAAGGGUUCCUGUCCAACGUUAAUCGGGGCAGGGUGAGUCGACCCCUAAGGCGAGGCCGAAAGGCGUAGUCGAUGGGAAACGGGUUAAUAUUCCCGUACUUGGUGUUACUGCGAAGGGGGGACGGAGAAGGCUAUGUUGGCCGGGCGACGGUUGUCCCGGUUUAAGCGUGUAGGCUGGUUUUCCAGGCAAAUCCGGAAAAUCAAGGCUGAGGCGUGAUGACGAGGCACUACGGUGCUGAAGCAACAAAUGCCCUGCUUCCAGGAAAAGCCUCUAAGCAUCAGGUAACAUCAAAUCGUACCCCAAACCGACACAGGUGGUCAGGUAGAGAAUACCAAGGCGCUUGAGAGAACUCGGGUGAAGGAACUAGGCAAAAUGGUGCCGUAACUUCGGGAGAAGGCACGCUGACACGUAGGUGAAGUGAUUUACUCAUGGAGCUGAAGUCAGUCGAAGAUACCAGCUGGCUGCAACUGUUUAUUAAAAACACAGCACUGUGCAAACACGAAAGUGGACGUAUACGGUGUGACGCCUGCCCGGUGCCGGAAGGUUAAUUGAUGGGGUCAGCGCAAGCGAAGCUCCUGAUCGAAGCCCCGGUAAACGGCGGCCGUAACUAUAACGGUCCUAAGGUAGCGAAAUUCCUUGUCGGGUAAGUUCCGACCUGCACGAAUGGCGUAAUGAUGGCCAGGCUGUCUCCACCCGAGACUCAGUGAAAUUGAACUCGCUGUGAAGAUGCAGUGUACCCGCGGCAAGACGGAAAGACCCCGUGAACCUUUACUAUAGCUUGACACUGAACAUUGAGCCUUGAUGUGUAGGAUAGGUGGGAGGCUUUGAAGUGUGGACGCCAGUCUGCAUGGAGCCGACCUUGAAAUACCACCCUUUAAUGUUUGAUGUUCUAACGUGGACCCGUAAUCCGGGUUGCGGACAGUGUCUGGUGGGUAGUUUGACUGGGGCGGUCUCCUCCUAAAGAGUAACGGAGGAGCACGAAGGUUGGCUAAUCCUGGUCGGACAUCAGGAGGUUAGUGCAAUGGCAUAAGCCAGCUUGACUGCGAGCGUGACGGCGCGAGCAGGUGCGAAAGCAGGUCAUAGUGAUCCGGUGGUUCUGAAUGGAAGGGCCAUCGCUCAACGGAUAAAAGGUACUCCGGGGAUAACAGGCUGAUACCGCCCAAGAGUUCAUAUCGACGGCGGUGUUUGGCACCUCGAUGUCGGCUCAUCACAUCCUGGGGCUGAAGUAGGUCCCAAGGGUAUGGCUGUUCGCCAUUUAAAGUGGUACGCGAGCUGGGUUUAGAACGUCGUGAGACAGUUCGGUCCCUAUCUGCCGUGGGCGCUGGAGAACUGAGGGGGGCUGCUCCUAGUACGAGAGGACCGGAGUGGACGCAUCACUGGUGUUCGGGUUGUCAUGCCAAUGGCACUGCCCGGUAGCUAAAUGCGGAAGAGAUAAGUGCUGAAAGCAUCUAAGCACGAAACUUGCCCCGAGAUGAGUUCUCCCUGAGACUUAGAGUCUCCUGAAGGAACGUUGAAGACGACGACGUUGAUAGGCCGGGUGUGUAAGCGCAGCGAUGCGUUGAGCUAACCGGUACUAAUGAACCGUGAGGCUUAACCUUAC
rnacentral:rRNA from 1 species